rnacentral:rRNA from 1 species
GAUGAACGCUAGCUACAGGCUUAACACAUGCAAGUCGAGGGGCAGCAGGACGAUAGCUUGCUAUUGUUGCUGGCGACCGGCGCACGGGUGAGUAACGCGUAUCCAACCUUCCCCUUAGUAGGGAAUAGCCCGGUGAAAAUCGGAUUAAUGCCCUAUGUUCUACACAGCGGACAUCUAACGUGAAGCAAAGAUUCAUCGCUAAGGGAUGGGGAUGCGUCUGAUUAGGUAGACGGCGGGGUAACGGCCCACCGUGCCAACGAUCAGUAGGGGUUCUGAGAGGAAGGUCCCCCACAUUGGAACUGAGACACGGUCCAAACUCCUACGGGAGGCAGCAGUGAGGAAUAUUGGUCAAUGGUCGAGAGACUGAACCAGCCAAGUAGCGUGCAGGAUGACGGCCCUAUGGGUUGUAAACUGCUUUUAUCGGGGGAUAAAGGACACUACGUGUAGUGUUUUGCAGGCAUCCCGUGAAUAAGGACCGGCUAAUUCCGUGCCAGCCGCCGCCGUAAGAC